CCCUCAGUUCGCUGCUCAAUCGCGAGUUUCUGUGGACUACCAUCGUUUAAAUACCUUGACCGGAGCAUAACUGGUUAACUUCACACAAGAGACCUACUGUUGGACAAUCGUUUUGGCUUUAAAGGAGAAAGUCAUCGCUCUGUAAUUGGCCCUUGGACUCCCCUGGCAUCUCGUGUACAGCAUGAAGUUUUCAGCAAUGAAGAUUUCCAGAGACUCCAGAAUGAAAAACAAGCCGUGAUGGAUGAGAACCAAGCCCUUAGGGAGGAGAACCAAGCUCUGAGGGAAAGCACUGCACGAGCAGCUUCGGAUGACAGCGGCUCACUUCAAGAGCAGGUGAAGCAAGUUGGGACAAUGUUGAAGACGUUUGCUUGCACUGGGCAAUCAGCUUCGGUUUUUGGCAAUCAAAUGUGGGAGGGACCUAAAGACAACUGUCUGGCGGAUGCUUCAAAGUAUCUUCUCUAAACACCUUUCCAUCAAUACAACCUGGACUGGAGUUGGGGAUAAAGCAUGUUUUAGAGACAUGUUCCUGAAGACCAUUGUUCAAAGAGCCAUCCGGAAGAACCCGGCAACCCAGGAUGCCACUGAUGAAGCCGUCCAGGUUAACGUUACGCGUUACCUGAAAGGAGCAUCUGACCGUGAAGGCGAAAAAAGGCGCCGCACAGCUGAGAGGGACCCACAGCCGACCCCUUAAAACUAGGCUGACUACUGACACCCCAGCAUCACUGACAACUGGAACCCUUUCUUUAUCCUGCAGUCAGUAACAUCAAGACCCCUAAAGAAGCCAGAAGUGUCAGACUGCACUCACCCAAUCCACAGUGUUCACUGUAUAUAUUAUCAUAGUGCUUAACUCUUAUUAUAUUGUUAAAUAUAGCUUGUAAAUCCUUGUGCCACAGGUCAGCAUUGCAGUUAUAUCUGUUCUACUACAGUUUUUACCUCAGUAUUUG